rnacentral:rRNA from 1 species
AGAACGAACGCUGGCGGCAGGCCUCAAACAUGCAAGUCUAGGGGGUGUAGCAAUACAUCACCGGCGGACGGGUGCGUAACACGUGGGAAUAUACCUUUUGGUUCGGAACAACGCAGGGAAACUUGCGCUAAUACCGAAUGUGCCCUUACGGGGAAAGAUUAAUCGCCAAAGGAUUAGCCCGCGUAGGAUUAGCUAGUUGGUGAGGUAAUGGCUCACCAAGGCUCCGAUCCUUAGCUGUUCUGAGAGGAAGAUCAGCCACACUGGGACUGAGACACGGCCCAGACUCCUACGGGAGGCAGCAGUUGGGAAUCUUGGACAAUGGGGGAAACCCUGAUCCAGCCAUGCCGCGUGAGUGAUGAAGGCCUUCGGGUUGUAAAACUCUUUCGACGGGGACAUAAUGACGGUACCCGUAGAAGAAGCUCCGGCUAACUUCGCGCCAGCAGCCGC